rnacentral:rRNA from 1 species
CAGCAGCCACGGGAAUACGUAGGGCGCAAGCGUUGUCCGGAAUUAUUGGGCGUAAAGAGCUCGUAGGCGGUCUGUCGCGUCUGGUGUGAAAUCCCGAGGCUCAACCUCGGGCUUGCAUCGGGUACGGGCAGACUAGAGUGCGGUAGGGGAGACUGGAAUUCCUGGUGUAGCGGUGGAAUGCGCAGAUAUCAGGAGGAACACCGAUGGCGAAGGCAGGUCUCUGGGCCGCAACUGACGCUGAGGAGCGAAAGCAUGGGGAGCGAACAGGAUUAGAUACCCCUGUAGUCCCUGUCUCUUAUAC